GACGAACGCUGGCGGCGUGCCUAAUACAUGCAAGUUGAGCGCUGAAGGUUGGUACUUGUACCGACUGGAUGAGCAGCGAACGGGUGAGUAACGCGUGGGGAAUCUGCCUUUGAGCGGGGGACAACAUUUGGAAACGAAUGCUAAUACCGCAUAAAAACUUUAAACACAAGUUUUAAGUUUGAAAGAUGCAAUUGCAUCACUCAAAGAUGAUCCCGCGUUGUAUUAGCUAGUUGGUGAGGUAAAGGCUCACCAAGGCGAUGAUACAUAGCCGACCUGAGAGGGUGAUCGGCCAAAAGGGGAAUGAGAAACGGCCCAAACUCCUACGGGAGGCAGCAGUAGGGAAACUUCGGCAAUGGACGAAAGUCUGACCGAGCAACGCCGCGUGAGUGAAGAAGGUUUUCGGAUCGUAAAACUCUGUUGGUAGAGAAGAACGUUGGGGAGAGUGGAAAGCUCAUCAAGUGACGGUAACUACCCAGAAAGGGACGGCUAACUACGUG
rnacentral:rRNA from 1 species